CUCCUACGGGAGGCAGCAGUAGGGAAUCUUCCGCAAUGGACGAAAGUCUGACGGAGCAACGCCGCGUGAGUGAUGAAGGCUUUCGGGUCGUAAAACUCUGUUGUUAGGGAAGAACAAGUGCUAGUUGAAUAAGCUGGCACCUUGACGGUACCUAACCAGAAAGCCACGGCUAACUACGUGCCAGCAGCCGCGGUAAUACGUA
rnacentral:rRNA from 1 species